AAAGAGAAAGAGUGGAGAAAGUAGAGAAAAGGAAGAACAAGAGAAGGAAGAGCUAGAGAUUGCUAGAACAAGAGGAGAUGAAGGCUAGAGAUUUCAAGAAUUAGAGGUAAGAGAGUUAGAUUACAUAAUCUAGGAGUGAUUCUAAAGAGGGGAGAAGUCUUAUCUUCUCCAAAUACAAACUCUUUACACUUUUUUUCUUUGGGUGGGAAUUUUUAUGAAUAAUAAUUGAAUCUUGAUAUGCUUUGAUGUUUAUUAAACUUGAUUAAGCAUGAAAUUAUGAAUCUUUAGGAAAAGAAAUGGGAAUUUGUAGAUGUUUGUGUAGUUUGUAUGAAAAUCCGAAUUUUUGUGAAAUAGGGUUUGAAUCUAUGAAUUGAGUAUGAAUUGGUGUUUGAUGAUGUUAAUAAUAGUGUUUCUAUGUGUAAUAUACUUGUACAUGCUUGAAGUUUGCAUCUUUAUGGAUUUAUAUAUGUUGAAACAUGAUUUUUGAGUGGUUUUGAUGUAAAACCCGCGAGCUGAGUUUGCAGGAACUGCGUCGGUCGUUGGAGCGACGCCUGCAGGCUUCGCUGCGCGAACAGAUGUUCGCUGCAGCGAGCUGGUCGCUGAUGGUCGGUGAUGGUCACUGGCUGGCAGAUUUAUUUCUGCCAAUGGUCGCUGGUGGUCGCUGCAGCGACCAUGACAAUACAUAAUUUUAUUUUUCUUGUUGUUUAAUUGGUUUGGAGGGUUAUAACAUGAUUUAAUAUUGAUGUUAUGAAUAUAUGUGAUAGGAUUGAAUGAUUGUAUCAUUGUAUAUGGAAUGAAUGAAUGUUGAUGAAUGAAUGUGAUGAAUGAAUGUUGUGAAGAAUGAAUGAAUGUAUUAAGAUGAAUGUGUGUGAUUUAUCUUAAUAAAGAAGAGUAAGAAUGUUAAGUGAUCGAGUUAUGUGUUACUUGAACAUUCAUGCAUCAUGAAAUUGAGAUGAGGAGUUCGUCAUGACUAUAAAAUGAACUAUAUUGGGAAUGAAUUGGUCCUUUCACGACAAAAAACUGAACUAUAAUGGGAAUGAAUGAAUGAAUGGAAUUGGUACCACAUGCAUUAGUUGUGUCUAGGCGACAUGACAAGAUGACAUUAGUUGCAUUAGGAUAUGUGAACUAUUUGUGAUGUUUGAUAAGUGGCAUUUAUGUGUUAAUCCCUAAUAAUUGAUUCGAUGAAUUAAUAUGUACGAUGUGAUUAUUGUUGAAUAGUUCAUAUAUGUGUUUUUAUUUGGAAGUAUGAGAUACUUAUUUAAUUUAUGAAUUGCGAUAGCAUGAUUGUGAAUAUAUUUGUGUAUGAAAUAUAUUGUCGACUAUAGAUAUGUAUAAUGCUUGAGUACCUUUUACUCUUUAUUGUUUUAUUUUGGAUUAUGUAUAUCCAACUCUCCGUUUUGUGUGUUUGCGAACUAUGGGUGUUCAGACCCUCAGGUUGAGGAUUAGCUUCUCAGGACUAGUGCUUGGAGUUGGAUAGCUUUGGAGUAGUGGUGAGGAGCUUAGCACUAUGCUACUCCUUUUAUCCCUUUAGUGUUUUGGUUAGAAUAAGAGUCGCUCUGAUAUUUGUAACACUAUUGGUAGGGGUGUAAUUGGACCGGUUUGGUUCGGUUUUGAGUGAAUCUGAUGUCCGAACCAAUGAACCAUCGAUUGGUUCGGUUUGGUUCGGUUUUCACUGUUUUUCAAAAAUGAAUCUGAACCAAACUCGUCGGUUUGGUUCGGUUUGGUUCGGAUACUUUGAUCGGUUUUACAUCGUAUUUUUUUCCGAUGUAUUCCAUGCUAUUUUUUUUUUAAUGACAAAAUUUAUUCAAGC
rnacentral:lncRNA from 1 species